rnacentral:rRNA from 1 species
UACGGAGGGUGCGAUCGUUAAUCGGAAUUACUGGGCGUAAAGGGCGCGUAGGCGGGUGGACAAGUCUCUCGUGAAAGCCCACGGCUCAACCGUGGAAUUGCGGGAGAUACUGUCUGUCUUGAGUCCGGGAGAGGAGGGUGGAAUUCCCAGUGUAGCGGUGAAAUGCGUAGAUAUUGGGAGGAACACCGGUGGCGAAGGCGGCUCUCUGGACCGGUACUGACGCUGAGGCGCGAAAGCUAGGGGAGAAAACGGG